rnacentral:rRNA from 1 species
ACUGAGACACUGCCCAGACUCCUACGGGAGGCUGCAGUCGAGAAUCUUCCGCAAUGGGCGAAAGCCUGACGGAGCGAUGCCGCGUGGGGGAUGAAGGCCUUCGGGUCGUAAACUCCUGUCACCCGGGACGAAGAAUGUGACGGUACCGGGAGAGGAAGCCACGGCUAACUACGUGCCAGCAGCCGCGGUAAUACGUAGGUGGCGAGCGUUACUCGGAUUUACUGGGCGUAAAGGGUCCGCAGGGGGUUUGCCAAGUCCGGUGUGAAAGCCCGCGGCUCAACCGCGGAAAUGCGCUGGAAACUGGUGAACUAGAGUGCACGAGGGGAGAGCAGAAUUCCUGGUGUAGCGGUGGAAUGCGUAGAUAUCAGGAGGAAUACCGAUGGCGAAGGCGGCUCUCUGGCGUGCUACUGACCCUCAUGGACGAAAGCGUGGGUAGCAAACAGGAUUAGAUACCCUGGUAGUCCACGCUGUAAACGGUGUGCACUAGGUGUGGGUGGUACUUUUGGUCCUACCCGUGUCCCAGCUAACGCGAUAAGUGCACCGCCUGGGGACUACGGCCGCAAGGCUAAAACUCAAAGGAAUUGACGGGGGCCCGCACAAGCGGUGGAGCAUGUGGCUCAAUUCGAGGCAACGCGAAGAACCUUACCAGGGCUUGACAUAUACUGGACCGUCUGUGAAAGCAGGCUUCUCUUCGGAGCCGGUAUACAGGUGCUGCAUGGCUGUCGUCAGCUCGUGCCGUGAGGUGUUCGGUUAAGUCCGGCAACGAGCGCAACCCGUGUCGUCAGUUGCUACCAGGUAAUGCUGGGCACUCUGGCGAGACUGCCCGUGUCAAGCGGGAGGAAGGCGCGGACGACGUCAAGUCCGUAUGGCCCUUACGUCCUGGGCUGCACACGUGCUACAAUGGGCGGUACAAUGGGAAGCAAUACCGCGAGGUGGAGCCAAUCCCCAAAACCGUCCCCAGUUCGGAUUGGAGUCUGCAACUCGACUCCAUGAAGUCGGAAUCGCUAGUAAAGGGGUAUCAGCAACGGCCCCUUGAAUACGUUCCCGGGCCUUGUACACACCGCCCGUCACAUCAUGGAAGCUGGCUGCACCCGAAGUCGUUGACCGAACCCGCAAGGGACGGAGACGCCGAAGGUGUGUCCAGUAACUGGGAUGAAGUCGUAACAAGGUAGCCGUAGGGGAUCCUGCGGCUG